rnacentral:lncRNA from 1 species
CUUAGAACAAAUACCAAUCAUCACUCUUUGGGAAAAAAGAAUCUGCAUCGGCGUGGCCUAUUGGAAUGGGGUUUCUGUCAAGUAAAUGGUUGUCGGCAAUGACUGUGGUAGAGUGGCGAUAAAUCCCAUUUUAUUGCUGAAAAAUUCCAGCUUCUCUCCAUGCCUGACAGCUCCCCACAUUCUCAUACCCAUUUGGGCAAUUUCUGCACUAUGUCCAUCUGGUUCUCAUUACCUCUCAACCUGCCUGCGUCUGAUCCAGAAAAAGAGCAGAUUGCAUUCUUACCCAAAUACUCUUCGUGAUUGCCUGCUUUGCGGCUUUGGGGGUCCUGAUUUCAAGGUGAAUGGGGUCAGUAGAGAGAGCAGCUGGUAG